AUGCCUCCUCUCAUCUACACAUUACUCGGGCUUCUCCUCCUCUCGUACACAGCUCCUCGGUGCUCCUCUGCAGGCGACACUCUCGCGGCAGGUCAAACUUUCGCGGCUGUUGGUGCCGGUGCCGGCAAGCUCGUCUCAAGAAAUGGCAAGUACGCGCUCGGCUUCUUCCAACCAGCUACGAUGAUUGCAAGCACCAUGAGUAGUAGUAAGUCCCACCACAACACCAGCUCCAGCUCUAGCUGGUACUUUGGCAUAUGGUUCAAUAAAAUUCCAGUUUUUACUACUGUGUGGGUUGCUAAUAGGGAGGAGCCCAUCUCCCAUCCCAAUAUCAACUCCACACAGCUCAGGAUCUCAAGUGAUGGCAAUCUUGUCAUCAUCGUAGACCAUGUUGAUGCCGGCACUGAAUCCCUUGUCUGGUCCACUCACAUCGUCAAUAGGACACAAACCACCACCACCACUACAACCCUUGUUCUCUUGAACAGUGGAAACCUUGUCCUCCUACCCACAAACGCUAGCCAAGAGAUGCCGUCGUGGCAGAGUUUCGACCACCCAACAGAUGUUGUGCUUCCUGGCGUCAAGCUUGGCUGGGACAAGGUCACCGGCUUGAGUAACACGAUCAUCUCAAAGAAGAGUCUCAUUAACCCUGGUCUUGGCUCAUACAGUGUUGGACUAGAAGGUGCCACGGGGAUGGUCCUCAAGCGCCGCAACAACCCCUCUGUAGUGUAUUGGCAAUUUGUGUCCUCUACAACAUCAACAUUGGUACCAAUAAUCCAGUCACUGGUAGAUUUGGAUCCUCGGAUUAAAGGUCUGGUUAACCCAAUAUAUGUUGAUAACAACCGAGAGGAGUACUACAUGUACACUUCACCGGAUGAAUCACCACCUUUAUUUGUCUCACUGGACACCUCGGGUCAAACAAAAAUGAUGUUUUGGUCUCCAGCCAGACAGACCUGGGAAACCAUAGGUGCCAACCCUGAUGGUCCCUGCAUGACGCCUGCUACAUGUGGACCUUUUGCGGUCUGCAACAACCAUGCACAUAUAUUAUGUGAGUGUAUGGAGGGCUUCUCUCAGAAGUCACCACAGGAUUGGGAGUUUAAUGAUAGAACAGGCGGAUGCAUCAGAAACACACCAUUACAGUACUGCGGCACUAGUGAGAAAAACAUGACAAGUUCAACAGACAUGUUCCACCCGAUUGCUCAAGCUACAUUGCCCUACAAGCCCCAACUAAUAGCCCUUGCUUCAACUCAGACAAAAUGCGAAGAAGCUUGUCUUAGCUCUUGUUCUUGCACUGCUUAUUCCUUUAACAAUGACAAAUGCUCUGUCUGGUAUGGGGAAUUACUUAGUGUAAGUAUGAAUGAUGGCAUUGAUUUUACAGCUGAAGAUGUUCUUUACAUUCGCCUUGCCGCCAAAGAUUUAAGUUUCAGAAAAAAUAAAAGGAAACCGCAUGUCGGAGUUGUUACUGCGGGAGCCAUUAUUGGUUUUGGGUUACUAAUGAUCAUGGUGUUGUUAUUGAUUUGGAUGAAGAAAUUCAAAGUGUGUGGUUUGCCUUUAUACGGCAAUCAGGAUAGUGGUGGAGGGAUUAUGGCCUUUAGAUUCACGGAUUUAGUCCGUGCUACUAAAAACUUCUCGGAAAAGCUAGGAGGAGGUGGUUUUGGUUCUGUAUACAAGGGGGUAUUAAAUGACUCAACUAGUAUAGCAGUGAAAAGGCUUGAUGGUGCAUGUCAAGGAGAGAAGCAAUUCAGGGCCGAGGUGAGCUCAGUUGGACUCAUCCAACAUAUCAACAUAGUCAAAUUGAUUGGUUUCUGCAGCGAAGGUGAUAAAAGGUUACUUGUGUAUGAACACAUGUCAAAUGGGUCUCUGGAUGUCCAUCUGUUUAAGAAGAGCAAUGCUAAUGGUGAUAUCCUGAACUGGAACACUAGAUUUCAAAUAACCCUUGGAAUUGCUAGAGGAUUGUCCUACUUGCAUCAGAGUUGUCGCCAAUGCAUCAUACACUGUGAUAUUAAACCAGAAAAUAUACUUUUGGAUGCAUCAUUUGUUCCUAAAGUUGCAGACUUUGGGUUGGCGGCAUUAGUCGGACGGGAUUUUAGCCGAAUUCUAACCACAUUCAGAGGAACUAUUGGUUAUCUUGCUCCGGAGUGGCUUAGCGGGAAUGCUAUUACGCCGAAAAUUGAUGUUUAUAGCUUCGGCAUGGUACUUUUGGAAAUCAUAUCAGGGGCUAGGAAUUCAUCUGGAACAGACAACACUAGGAACAACCACUCUGCUAAAUUUUUCCCCGUGCAAGCUAUCCACAAGCUUCAUGGGGGUGAUGUGCAGAGUUUGGUGGAUCCAAAUUUGCAUGGUGACUUCAAUUUAGAAGAGGUCGAAAGGGUUUGCAAGGUUGCAUGUUGGUGUAUCCAAGAUAAUGAAUUUGAUCGACCGGCGAUGGGUGAAAUGGUACGGGUUCUCGAGGGUCUACAGGAGAUUGACAUGCCCCCGAUGCCGAGACAACUUGCGGCUAUGACGGAACAAUAUGGUGUAACCUCUUCAAUAUACAUAGUAAACAGUCACAGUCGAUGUGACUAA
rnacentral:rRNA from 1 species